ensembl:lncRNA
AUUUUAUCCAGUGUGGUUCAGAAACUGCUCACAUCAGGAUCAACCUCGUCUGAUGAUCUCAUUUCAAGAUUUGCUGCAUGGUCCUUUUCCACGUCACUCGUUUGUGUUUAAUGUCUCCACCAACGUACACGAUCUGCUGAUUAAGAACGUCACAGAAUCAGAUGUGGGCGUGUACUACUGCGCUGUGAGAGAAAACAAUAUUACAAAGGAUAAAGACGGCGUGAUAAUCAGCACUGCAGUGUUUCAUUAUGGGAACAGAUGGACUCGACUCUCUGUACUCGAAGAGAGAGCUGAUCAGAGACGAAGUGGCAAAAGACAGAGUCAAAGGAGCGAUGAGGUUGAAGACGAGGUCUGUUACGCCUCGCUGGACAUCCAGAACCUCCACAAGAAGAAGAAGAGGAAGAGGAGAGUUCAGCACUCCGAUUUCAGCACGUAUUCAGAGGUCAGGACCGAGAGACACUGAGGAGAGAUCGUGACUUCUGAAAGCUGUAUCACGUCAAAGUGCAUCCAUUAUUCUGUCGACUGUUUUUAUUGAUCAUGAUCAUGAAAUGCCUUUUCAGUAGAAUCACUGACUUCAUCACAUCCUGUUCUUUAAUAGUCCAUUAAAUGUAGAAAUCUGAAAUAAUUUGGGAUUUAUUGCAGAGAAGAAAAAUGAACCAACCCGCACUCCAAGAAUGAAUGAAUCCAAAAUGGCGGCGUCUCUCAGAAAAGC